CUAUGGAAAGCAAAACCUGAACGGCGCAAUGAAAGUGAAGGCCGUCCGCUGGUCGUUCCGAACCGCUUCGCUUCGGCAAGCGGCCUAGGAGGCUGCGGCGGCGGAGGCGGGAUCCGAUUUUUCAUGAGAUACCAAUCCCGAAUGAAAAUUACGAGCCAGGGCCCAAUAUAUUGAAUNGUUUAUACCCAUGAAUUGAGGGCCCUGGUCGGCGCACCGCAGGCCCGUCUCAAUGUGCCACAACGUUGGCGAGGCGGAGCCAGAGCGCACACGUUGGGACCCGAAAGAUGGUGAACUAUGCUUGGGCAGGACGAAGCCAGAGGAAACUCUGGUGGAGGUCCGUAGCGAUUCUGACGUGCAAAUCGAUCGUCGGACCUGAGUAUAGGGGCGAAAGACUAAUCGAACCGUCU
rnacentral:rRNA from 1 species